rnacentral:rRNA from 1 species
AUUGAACGCUGGCGGCAGGCCUAACACAUGCAAGUCGAACGGUAACAGGAAGAAGCUUGCUUCUUUGCUGACGAGUGGCGGACGGGUGAGUCAUGUCUGGGAAACUGCCUGAUGGAGGGGGAUAACUACUGGAAACGGUAGCUAAUACCGCAUAACGUCGCAAGACCAAAAAGGGGGACCUUCGGGCCUCUUGCCAUCGGAUGUGCCCAGAUGGGAUUAGCUAGUAGGUGGGGUAACGGCUCACCUAGGCGACGAUCCCUAGCUGGUCUGAGAGGAUGACCGGCCACACUGGAACUGAGACACGGUCCAGACUCCUAGGGGAGGCAGCAGGGGGGAAUAUUGCGCAAUGGGCGAAAGCCUGACGGAGCAACGCCGCGUGAGUGAAGAAGGUCUUCGGAUUGUAAAAUUCUUUCAUGGGGGAAGAAGGAAUGAGUAAGAAACUAUGCACGUAUUGACGUUACCUAAAAAGAAAGCCCCGGCUAACUACGUG